UCCGGUGCCGGGCCCGUCUGUAAAACGUUCGUGACAGUAGGGGUUCCUCCCGAUGCUCCAGUUUUGUCCCACAGCCCAAAGAUGUACUGGCUAGCAGACUAGUGUGAAAUAGGUGGCUGCCGAGCUAUGCGACUCGUCGGGUCGGAAGGGCCUGUUUCACGCUGGGUCUCAAAAUGCAUGAAACUAAUUCCCCAGGACUAAUCCGGUGGGGAUAACUUCCACUCACCCCAUCACUGAACUGUUCCCACGACAUAUGGACUCACUUUCUUCAUCUCAGGGUACUGACCCGAAACAUCCCUUUGACCUCCAACCAUCAGGCAGAAGAAACGCAAGUAUGAAAACAAGUGUACUGCUGGAACGCAAGGAAUGUCAGUGACAGUAAACCUGAUUCUGAUGCCAAAUCAGGGUCAUAACGGGAUCUUUUGGCAUAUUGGCCUUCACAUCUUCUCCCAGUCUGUUGUCACCAGAACAAGCUUCAAUGCGAUGGUGUGCUGAGGCAAUAUCAUCAGCACAGGUGGUGCGAACAGGCUCAACAAACCGAUUAGAAACGCUGACUCUGCUAUAGGUGUCAAACUGGACACACUGGAGGCUGUGGUAGAAUAAAAGGACCCAAUGGAAAAUCCUGGCAAUUCUGGACAAUGUUUCUCACCCUCUGCAUGCCACCUUGGCUGAACGAGGGAGCACUUUUAGUAAUAGACCUUGACAACUGCACUGCUCCAAAGAGCGCUAUAUGAGGUCAUUCUUACUUGUAAUGCUACUGUGUCACUGUAAUUUCCUUUGGGAUCAAUAAAGUAUCUAUCUAUCUAUACUGUGUAUCACAGUAUUGAGCACAGGAGUUAGGAUGUUAUAUUGAAGUUGUGUAAGAUGCUGAUGAGGCCUAAUGUGUGCUCUUCUAGUCACCUACCUAGACAAAAGAUUGAGAGAAUACAGAGAAAGUUUACAAAGAUGUUGCCGGGAUUUGGGGACCUGAGUUAUAUGUUGAAUAGGUUAGGGACUUUAUUCCUGAAGCGUAGGAGAAUGAGGAGAGGUUUGAUAGAGGUAUACAAAAUUUUGAGGGA